AUUGAACGCUGGCGGCAGGCCUAACACAUGCAAGUCGAACGAGUGGCGGACGGGUGAGUAUUGUCUGGGAAACUGCCGGAUGGCGGGGGAUAACUACUGGAAACGGUAGCUAAUACCGCAUACCAUCGGAUCUGCACAGAAGGGAUUAGCUAGUAGGUGGGGUAAAGGCUCACCUAGGCGACGAUCCCUAGCUGGUCUGAGAGGAUGACCAUGCACACUGGAACUGAGACACGGUCCAGACUCCUACGGGAGGCAGCAGUGGGGAAUAUUGCACAAUGGGCGCAAGCCUGAUGCAGCCAUGCCGCGUGUAUGAAGAAGGCCUUCGGGUUGUAAAGUACUUGCAGCGGGGAGGCGUUACCCGCAGAAGAAGCACCGACUAACUCCGUGCCAGCAGCCGCGGUAAUUC
rnacentral:rRNA from 1 species